CCUACGGGAGGCAGCAGUGGGGAAUAUUGGACAAUGGGCGAAAGCCUGAUCCAGCAAUGCCGCGUGAGUGAUGAAGGCCUUAGGGUUGUAAAGCUCUUUUACCCGGGAUGAUAAUGACAGUACCGGGAGAAUAAGCUCCGGCUAACUCCGUGCCAGCAGCCGCGGUAAUACGGAGGGAGCUAGCGUUAUUCGGAAUUACUGGGCGUAAAGCGCACGUAGGCGGCUUUGUAAGUAAGAGGUGAAAGCCUGGUGCUCAACACCAGAACUGCCUUUUAGACUGCAUCGCUUGAAUCCAGGAGAGGUGAGUGGAAUUCCGAGUGUAGAGGUGAAAUUCGUAGAUAUUCGGAAGAACACCAGUGGCGAAGGCGGCUCACUGGACUGGUAUUGACGCUGG
rnacentral:rRNA from 1 species